CAAUCUAGAUUCAUUUCAAUAGGAACAAAAAUUCAACCGAUUCAAUUGACUAGUGACUAGAAAGGAUAUAACAAGAACAAAGGUAGGUGUUAGUAAAUACAUCGAACUAAAAACAUUUUCAUUUAAAUAUAGAUGAAAUAAGACAGCUUAUUUCUUAUUAAUUUUGAUUUAUUUGGAUUUCUAAUUCUAAGUAUUUUUUUUCACUGAAUCUGACGCGCCAUAGCAAUUGCACCUAUUAAAGCAACUAAAAGAAUUAUAGAAAUGAGUUCAAAUGGAAGAAAAAAAUUUGUUGAUAAAUGAAUCCCAAUUUGUUGACCAUUACUUAUCAAGUCCUGUUCUAUAAUCUGGUUUGAUCUUGUAGUCCAAAUAACCCCGUACCAUGAUGUGUCUAGGAUAGUAGUAAUUAGUGAAACAAAAAUACUUGUACAAACCAGUGAAGUGACACCAUCUCCAACAGUCCAAAGAUGGAAAUCGUUGUAAUAUUCUGAACCAUUCAUGAACAUCACAGCAAAUAUGAUUAAGACAUUUAUGGCUCCCACAUAAAUAAGGAGCUGUGCAGCAGCUACAAAAUGGGAGUUCGAUGGAAUAUAGAAUAAGGAUAUACAAACAAGAACCAAUCCCAAUGAAAAGGCAGAAAAAAUGGGAUUGGUAAGUAAUACUACUCCCAGACCCCCUAGUAUAAGGCCUGAUCCCAGAAAUACUAAAAGAAAAUCAUGUAUUUGCCCAGGUAAAUCCAUUAUAUAUUAUUUAUAUGUAAAAUAAGAAAUAAAUAAGUCGAAAUCUUUCAUGACCUUAUUGACCUGACCGGACCGGGAAAAAAUAAAUUACCCUAUUUAUAUUUUAUAUAAUUUAUAUAAUACGUUUACGCUCCUAAUUGAAUUAAAUUCUAAUGGGUGUGAAUUGAUGUAGAUACUCUUAGAUGUAUAUACUGUUAUUGGACAAAUUCCAUUCUAUAUCCGAAUCUGAAAGACAAGACGAAAUUUGAUGUUUCGAACUCAUCACGGUAUAUGAAUCAAUUUUCAAUUCAAAUUAAGACGUGAUUCUCACCAAUCAAUAGCUAGGAUUUUUAGUUAUUGACCAAGCAAAAUGAAAGAAGCCUCCCCCCUUUAGAUCAAAA